GGACGAACGCUGGCGGCGUGCUUAACACAUGCAAGUCGAACGGAAAGGCCUCUGCUUGCAGAGGUACUCGAGUGGCGAACGGGUGAGUAACACGUGGGUGAUCUGCCUUGCACUUCGGGAUAAGCCUGGGAAACUGGGUCUAAUACCGGAUAGGACCAUGCUUUAGUGUGUGUGGUGGAAAGUUUUUCGGUGCARGAUGAGCCCGCGGCCUAUCAGCUUGUUGGUGGGGUAAUGGCCUACCAAGGCGACGACGGGUAGCCGGCCUGAGAGGGUGUACGGCCACAUUGGGACUGAGACACGGCCCAGACUCCUACGGGAGGCAGCAGUGGGGAAUAUUGCACAAUGGGCGCAAGCCUGAUGCAGCGACGCCGCGUGGGGGAUGAAGGCCUUCGGGUUGUAAACUCCUUUCGCUAGGGAAGAAGCCUUUUUGGUGACGGUACCUGGAUAAGAAGCACCGGCUAACUACGU
rnacentral:rRNA from 1 species